GGUGGGGGCACACAAGUGAGAGAGGGAAUGAACGGUUGCUUUAUCUUCUUUCUUGGCGAGUUACUUUCUCACACUCUGGAGUCUGAAAGGCAGUAUAAGACAAGCCUGUCAAUAGGAAUUCAUGUCUCCUCACCCCACUUGUAGGGUGUGUCUACAUUGGAGAAUUAAUCCAGCCAUUAAUGCCAGAGAUAUAAAGGCAGAAAUUGGAAGCUUCUCUGAAUGAUGUCUUUAUCAGAUCUGAAGAAGUGAAUACCACCUUACAUGUCAGAUCCCAACAGCCAAAUUACAAGAAUCAGGAAUGCAGUGAUCCAGAGAAGAAAAAAAAUUGGCAUCCAGUGAACAAAAGAAGUGCCAAAUGAUUUAGAACUGCCCUUUUGUUAUAUAACCACAGGCACUGAAAGGAGACCCACUCAAUUAUACAAUGGAGAGAACUGAAAAAGUGCUGUCCUUUGCAGGGAAGGUAAUAGCCUCUGCAACCCCCCAGGAAAUCAAAGAUAAUCUACACGUCCACCAUGUAACAGUAGAGAAAUAGUUUAUCCAUACCUCACAACCUCUGAGGAUGCCUGCCAUAGAUGUGGGCGAAACGUCAGGAGAGAAUACUUCUGGAACAUGGCCACACAGCCCAGAAGACAUACAACAACCCUGUGAUCCUGGCCAUGAAAGCCUUCGACAACAUAUUUACAUAUAAUUUAAAAAAAAACUAAAAGAAGCAUCCUCUUGAAUUUCUGCAUGAUGAGACAACAUAAAGAGGGCAUCAAUCCUGCCAAGUUUCAGAACAUUGCAGUCAUCCACUGACUUUAAAGGUUUUUUUUUUUAAAUUUAAGAGCAUGUGAUUAUGAUUAACCUAAAUCACUCAAUGAGACUUAUAAGCAACAAGCAAGCAAGCAAGCAAUACAUACUUGUAAAGUGAAAUGCUGGUCCUGUUAGAGGAAGAAAGCAGGUAAGUAGGAUCACUGCAGAUCUGACCUUCUGGGUGUGGAAGCAGAGGUAUGUCAUUGUGGAAGAGUGGCUCCAGGUGUUUGGUGAUGGCGCCAGUCAAGCCCAUCACCACCACCUACACCCGGGGUGUCAGCAUUCCAGCCAGACUAGCAAGCAUACUGCCCCCACCCCACCCCACCCCCAGCCCAUUCCGAGUGCUCCUUCAGUCCCAGUACCACAGGGAGCACAUGACUGAGAAGGGCUGUUGAAGCGCUCAAGGUCUCUGUGGCCUCCAAGAAGGGCUGGAGAACAGAGACCAGCUGGGAGAUAAUAGAUCUACUCAAUAUAAGGCAGCUUUGUGUGUUGUACUUAGUUCUCCCAAAUGCAGCCUUCAGAGUAAAGUAAAACUUAAAAAAUUGCUGUAACAUUACCAGAACCACAGUUUGUUGGGAGGCAUGAUGCAACUGUCUAAUAGAAACUCAAUUCAAGUGGGUAUUCUGGGCUGAGAGAAACUUCCUUGAACUCAAUAGGUCUUCUGAGAAGACAUGUACAAUAUAUUAUCAGUCUCUUUCUGUAUCUCUUUCAGCUGCAUUGUCUCCAGAAAUCAAUAGAUAAAAUGGAAGUUAUCUGAUGUUAUGCUUUUGUCUACACUUUGUCCACAGCCAUAAUCAUGUUUAAUGCAUAAAGCAAACUGAUAGUUUUAAACUGUUUUAAAAUCACAGUAUCUUUAUAAACAGAUUUGAAAGAUCAAUCAGCCAGGAUGAAAGAAAGUUUGAAUAAGGGUGAUGAAGACAUGCAAUCAUAGUAUCAGAACAAUCUCAUUUUCUUUUAUAUUUCAAACUUUUAAAAAGGAAAAAUCCUGCUCUUAAUACUUGUCUCUUUAUUGAUCUACAGCAGGGGUCCCCAAACUAAGGCCCGGGGACUGGAUGUGGCCCUCCAAGGUCAUUUACCUGGCCCCCCGCCUUCAGUUUUAGAUUUAGGCUCACCCAAAGUUUGAAAUGAUUUGAAGGCACACAACAACAACAAUCCUAAUUAACUUCACUAGGUCAUUGGCCAGAAGCAGACCCACAUUGAAAUCCUGAUAGGUUUAUGUUGGUUAAAAUUGUUUUUGUUUUUAAAUAUUGUAUUGUUAUUUCAUUGUUGUUGUUGUUUUAUUGCACUACAAAUAAGACAUGUGCAGUGUGCAUAGGAAUUUGUUCGUAUUUUUUUCAUAUGAUAAUUUGGCCCCUCAAUAGUCUGAAGGAUUGUGGACCGGCCCUCUGCUUAAAAAGUUUGAGGACCCCUGCUCUACAGGCUCCAAUAAAAAAGGAUAUGAUUCUUAUUGUUAUUGUGAUUCAAGAAAGAAGAAAUAAUGUUAACAUUAUUGUCCAGAAUGUUCUACCCAAAUAUUUUACCUCCAAUUGAAGCUCUGGUCUUGGGAAGCAUGGUAAGUAUGGGAAAGUAAACAUAGAAAGUAUAGGGAACGUGGAAAGUAUGGGAAAGAUUUUUGAUUCACUGGCUCCAAUGCCUUCCCAGUAAUGAAACAUGGCCUUAACUUGGGAGAAAUUAUGUCAGCCUUGACCCUGGCAUAAAUAUACUGUUCCUCUAUGCUGCCCACUGCCUUCUAAAUGUAGACCAGAGACUGAAUCUCCAGGCCUUCUGCUUGCAAAGCAUGUGCUCUAUUAAAUGGCAAUAUGAAUAUGAAUGAAUAUUAAUAUGGUUGUUAUGACUAUUACUAUCAAUUUUAUCUUAGAAUGGAGUCACCUGUCCUUCAAAGUCAAUCAGAAAUGAAUACUUAAUUAGCCAAAAUAUCAUUAGAAGGUAAAGCAUGAAUAUUAUUAACAUUGUAAAAUGAUUGAACAAGUAUUAAAAUUUAUGUCUAAUCGUAACUGUACAUUAAAUUACAAGAGAUUAUUUGACGUCUUUGAAUGUCCACAUUUUAUAAAAGACAGAAACGGAAAGUGACAUGAGUACAGUUUAAAAAAAAAUCAUAUACUCUAAAGAUGAAUGCUAGCCUCAAACUCUCUCUCUAAUAUUUCAUGGACAAUUCUGCUACAUAAUUAUCACCCCCUUUAACAGCCCAGUCCAAAGUGUAUUUUGUGAAAAGUUUGAUCUCUUUCAACUGUUAGCUUUGUAGAAUGGAACUACUUCAGAAGGGUGAGAUGUCACUGCGAUGUUCUGGUCAUCAGAAGAACUGAUUAGCAAUAUAGAAAACUGUCCCUUGCCUGCAGGGAUUAUGAAGUUGCACUCAGAUGAGCAGAGAAGGGCAAAGGUUUCAUUAAGUAAAGCCUCAAAUCAUCUGAGUAAGGUUCUAUAAGUACUUAGUUGAUGGAAUCAAUGUUUCCAUAGCCUUUUCCUAUCUAGCAGAAAGAGUUAGGACUCUUCCCACCACCUUGCUAGGAAGUUGGUGCCCUUUGACAGAGAAGUUUUCUCUUGCUCAUCCUAUCUCUUCUAACAACCAAUCCCCAGUCAUUCUUUUUCAAAGUGGAAAAAUCAGACUAGUAUCAACUCUGGAGACCAAGACGUUAGGGUUCCGACACUCAAUUAGCUUUGAGGACAGUUGUUUUCAAUCAAGUAAAGUAAAUAUGUGUUUUUUCUUUGCAAUAAGUAUUUGCACCCCUUGAAAUAAUGAGACCAGACAACAAUAUGAGAGUAACUAACUAUGGACAGCUUUAUUAGGGUUACCUAUUUAAACUUUCUUCAUGAACUGCAAAAAACUUGUUCAGGGGAAUGAACUUGAAGUGGUAUAAGCUAAGGCAGUUGGCUCUUCCAGACCCACUCCUCAACUAAUUUGGGUGAAACACCUGAGUCCCCUGAGUUCACCUCUGGCUUGAGUUGUUCUCAGAGUGACCUCUUAGAGCAGCUACCUAGAGUAUUCCAAUCCCAAUCCACAAGGCUUCAGUGGGGCUAGAAUUCUCACACAGCUCCAAGGGCAACCACUUUGGUUGCCUGAACACACAAGUGGGGGUUCCUGUUCCUGGCCUUCAGCAAAACAGGGGGUCUUAGGUGCACACUGAGAUGUAAACUCUAUUCCAGUUCUCUUUCCAGAGAUUAGUGGCAAGUUUCUGCUUUGUCCCUAUCCCCUGCCAAGCCUGCCUAAACUGUCCUAAUGCCCCCCUGCAGAUCAUGAAGAAACUGUUGGUUGCCAUCCUCUGAGAGAUGGAUAUCAUCUGCCCAAAAUAAAUCCUUCCUAUGAUAGGUGAUCUUGUGAUGACUAUAAUAACCUGAACCUUCACUCAUCACUUUGUAAAUUUCACAAUUCACCCUUUUCCUAGCUAUAUCCAGUUUUUGCAAACUGCCCCCGCCCGUCCACCUUUGAUGAGGGAUAAAGGCAGACCAUGCCAAAUGCAUUUGAGGUCAUGCUUCCCAGUGGUGAAAACUAUUGCUUUAAUUAUUCAUUACUAUCUUCAAGAGAAAACUUAGUGAAGAAUGACAUCCCAAAGACACACAUAGCCAUUCACUCCAAAUAUAACCAGGCAUUAAAUCAGUCUUUUUCUCUGGAAAAUAGACCAGUAUGAGUACCCAGUUUUAAGUAUGAGAAACCGAAGCAUCAGUGCUUGCCGCAAAGCACCUCCAUAUCUUCAGAGCUGAAAACCAGUUUUCUCUGCGUGCUACAUCCCUUUCUGCUCAUCUCAGGUGAUACAUAGGAGAAUUGUUAACAUAAAGGAGGUUAUGCAAGAAAUUGUUUCGCAGUUCUAAGGCCACCGUCUGCUUCACUUCAUUAAUAAACCCCAGAUGGUGUUACUCAGAAGUUAUCUGCUGCUUUAUUAUUUCCUUCUAAUUCUGCAUGCAUUGAUUGAGGUAUGGGUUAUUUUCCAUAUCCUUGUGAUUGAGGCCAAGACGAUUACUAUUACCAAGUUCACUGUGCCACACAUUAUUAUUCUGCUAUUGAUUAUCAUUCUGCCUUGCCUGAUCCCACACCCGUGAAGUUCAUCUGAUUUCCUGUCAGUCUCUGUUGUUUUCUAACAAAAAGACAAAUAUUUCUUAUACUUCACUACUGUUAGUCCUCUUCUGAGAGUAUUUUUCCAUGUGCAUGAUUUGAAUAUUAAGAUGUAACUGCAUUCAGUCUCUUUGCCAUGGGCUAUAUUUAAUUCCCCCACCCCAGUUCCCUUUCUCUAUUCUUUUCUCCCACUUGGCAUAUGUGAUUAGACUACAGUGGCUGAAUUAUUCUGUGAAGAGCUUUGUGUUGCAAGCAAUGUAAGAGGUGUGAUUUAGAAUCCCCGACUGCUGAUGACCUCAUUAUUGCAUUGCUCUGCUGAAGUAGUAUAAAGUCGCAUAAGCUCCAUCACAAGGGCACCAGAAGACCUAGCAAGAAGAUUGCUUUCCUAAAUAUUCUGUCAUUACAAAAAAGGAAGAUUUAAAAGGUUUUUUUAAUAAAAAAACCCUUCUCUUACAGAACUAGUUAUGCAGAAUUGUACCUGCAAACUUUCUGAGAAAAAUCUCUCCCUGCCCCCCAAUAACUUUCAAAGCUUUGCAGUUAUAGGACUUGAAGACAGUCAACAACAACAACAAUUUCAGAAUUGCUUGCAUUAAGAGUUAAGAUCAG